GGGUUGUGAGGUUAAGCGACUAAGCGUACACGGUGGAUGCCCUGGCAGUCAGAGGCGAUGAAGGACGUGCUAAUCUGCGAUAAGCGCCGGUAAGGUGAUAUGAACCGUUAUAACCGGCGAUUUCCGAAUGGGGAAACCCAGUGUGACUCGUCACACUAUCAUUAACUGAAUCCAUAGGUUAAUGAGGCGAACCGGGGGAACUGAAACAUCUAAGUACCCCGAGGAAAAGAAAUCAACCGAGAUUCCCCCAGUAGCGGCGAGCGAACGGGGAGGAGCCCAGAGCCUGAAUCAGCAUGUGUGUUAGUGGAAGCGUCUGGAAAGGCGCGCGAUACAGGGUGACAGCCCCGUACACAAAAGCGCAUGUGCUGUGAGCUCGAUGAGUAGGGCGGGACACGUGGUAUCCUGUCUGAAUAUGGGGGGACCAUCCUCCAAGGCUAAAUACUCCUGACUGACCGAUAGUGAACCAGUACCGUGAGGGAAAGGCGAAAAGAACCCCGGCGAGGGGAGUGAAAAAGAACCUGAAACCGUGUACGUACAAGCAGUGGGAGCACCCUUUGGGGUGUGACUGCGUACCUUUUGUAUAAUGGGUCAGCGACUUAUAUUCUGUAGCAAGGUUAACCGAAUAGGGGAGCCGGAGGGAAACCGAGUCUUAAUUGGGCGUUAAGUUGCAGGGUAUAGACCCGAAACCCGGUGAUCUAGCCAUGGGCAGGUUGAAGGUUGGGUAACACUAACUGGAGGACCGAACCGACUAAUGUUGAAAAAUUAGCGGAUGACCUGUGGCUGGGGGUGAAAGGCCAAUCAAACCGGGAGAUAGCUGGUUCUCCCCGAAAGCUAUUUAGGUAGCGCCUCGUGAAUUCAUCUCCGGGGGUAGAGCACUGUUUCGGCUAGGGGGCCAUCCCGGCUUACCAACCCGAUGCAAACUGCGAAUACCGGAGAAUGUUAUCACGGGAGACACACGGCGGGUGCUAACGUCCGUCGUGAAGAGGGAAACAACCCAGACCGCCAGCUAAGGUCCCAAAGUCAUGGUUAAGUGGGAAACGAUGUGGGAAGGCCCAGACAGCCAGGAUGUUGGCUUAGAAGCAGCCAUCAUUUAAAGAAAGCGUAAUAGCUCACUGGUCGAGUCGGCCUGCGCGGAAGAUGUAACGGGGCUAAACCAUGCACCGAAGCUGCGGCAGCGACGCUGAUGCGUUGUUGGGUAGGGGAGCGUUCUGUAAGCCUGCGAAGGUGGCCUGUGAGGGUUGCUGGAGGUAUCAGAAGUGCGAAUGCUGACAUAAGUAACGAUAAAGCGGGUGAAAAGCCCGCUCGCCGGAAGACCAAGGGUUCCUGUCCAACGUUAAUCGGGGCAGGGUGAGUCGACCCCUAAGGCGAGGCCGAAAGGCGUAGUCGAUGGGAAACGGGUUAAUAUUCCCGUACUUGGUGUUACUGCGAAGGGGGGACGGAGAAGGCUAUGUUGGCCGGGCGACGGUUGUCCCGGUUUAAGCGUGUAGGUGUGUGUUCCAGGUAAAUCCGGUUCACUUUAACACUGAGGCGUGAUGACGAGGCACUACGGUGCUGAAGCAACAAAUGCCCUGCUUCCAGGAAAAGCCUCUAAGCAUCAGGUAACAUCAAAUCGUACCCCAAACCGACACAGGUGGUCAGGUAGAGAAUACCAAGGCGCUUGAGAGAACUCGGGUGAAGGAACUAGGCAAAAUGGUGCCGUAACUUCGGGAGAAGGCACGCUGACACGUAGGUGAAGUGAUUUACUCAUGGAGCUGAAGUCAGUCGAAGAUACCAGCUGGCUGCAACUGUUUAUUAAAAACACAGCACUGUGCAAACACGAAAGUGGACGUAUACGGUGUGACGCCUGCCCGGUGCCGGAAGGUUAAUUGAUGGGGUCAGCGCAAGCGAAGCUCCUGAUCGAAGCCCCGGUAAACGGCGGCCGUAACUAUAACGGUCCUAAGGUAGCGAAAUUCCUUGUCGGGUAAGUUCCGACCUGCACGAAUGGCGUAAUGAUGGCCAGGCUGUCUCCACCCGAGACUCAGUGAAAUUGAACUCGCUGUGAAGAUGCAGUGUACCCGCGGCAAGACGGAAAGACCCCGUGAACCUUUACUAUAGCUUGACACUGAACAUUGAGCCUUGAUGUGUAGGAUAGGUGGGAGGCUUUGAAGUGUGGACGCCAGUCUGCAUGGAGCCGGCCUUGAAAUACCACCCUUUAAUGUUUGAUGUUCUAACGUGGACCCGUGAUCCGGGUUGCGGACAGUGUCUGGUGGGUAGUUUGACUGGGGCGGUCUCCUCCUAAAGAGUAACGGAGGAGCACGAAGGUUGGCUAAUCCUGGUCGGACAUCAGGAGGUUAGUGCAAUGGCAUAAGCCAGCUUGACUGCGAGCGUGACGGCGCGAGCAGGUGCGAAAGCAGGUCAUAGUGAUCCGGUGGUUCUGAAUGGAAGGGCCAUCGCUCAACGGAUAAAAGGUACUCCGGGGAUAACAGGCUGAUACCGCCCAAGAGUUCAUAUCGACGGCGGUGUUUGGCACCUCGAUGUCGGCUCAUCACAUCCUGGGGCUGAAGUAGGUCCCAAGGGUAUGGCUGUUCGCCAUUUAAAGUGGUACGCGAGCUGGGUUUAGAACGUCGUGAGACAGUUCGGUCCCUAUCUGCCGUGGGCGCUGGAGAACUGAGGGGGGCUGCUCCUAGUACGAGAGGACCGGAGUGGACGCAUCACUGGUGUUCGGGUUGUCAUGCCAAUGGCACUGCCCGGUAGCUAAAUGCGGAAGAGAUAAGUGCUGAAAGCAUCUAAGCACGAAACUUGCCCCGAGAUGAGUUCUCCCUGAGACUUAGAGUCUCCUGAAGGAACGUUGAAGACGACGACGUUGAUAGGCCGGGUGUGUAAGCGCAGCGAUGCGUUGAGCUAACCGGUACUAAUGAACCGUGAGGCUUAACCUUACAACGCCGAAG
rnacentral:rRNA from 2 species